CCUACGGGAGGCUGCAGUGGGGAAUAUUGCACAAUGGGCGAAACCCUGAUGCAGCGACGCCGCGUGCGUGAAGAAGUAUCUCGGUACGUAAAGCUCUAUUAGUAGGGAAGAAAAUGACGGUACCUGACUAUGAAGCCCCGGCUAACUACGUGCCAGCAGCCGCGGUAAUACGUAGGGGGCAAGCGUUAUCCGGAUUUACUGGGUGUAAAGGGAGCGUAGUUGGCACUGCAAGACAGGAGUGAAAGCCCGGGGCUCAACCUCGGGACUGCACUUGGAACUGCAUGGCUGGAGUGCAGGAGGGGCAGGCGGAAUUCCUGGUGUAGCGGUGAAAUGCGUAGAUAUUAGGAAGAACACCGGUGGCGAAGGCGGCCUUCUGGACUGUGACUGACGUUGAGGCCCGAAAGCGUGGGGAGCAAACAGGAUUAGAUACCCGGGUAGUC
rnacentral:rRNA from 1 species